AACGAACGCUGGCGGCAUGCCUAACACAUGCAAGUCAAACGAGACCUUCGGGUCUAGUGGCGCACGGGUGCGUAACGCGUGGGAACCUGCCCUUAGGUUCGGAAUAACUCCCCGAAAGGGGUGCUAAUACCGGAUAAUGUCUUCGGACCAAAGAUUUAUCGCCUUUGGAUGGGCCCGCGUUGGAUUAGCUAGUGGGGAGGUUAACAGCCUACCAAGGCGACGAUCCAUAGCUGGUCUGAGAGGAUGAUCAGCCACACUGGGACUGAGACACGGCCCAGACUCCUCCGGGAGGCAGCAGUGGGGAAUAUUGGACACUGGGCGAAAGCCUGAGCCAGCAGUGCCGCGUGAGUGAUGAAGGCCUUAGGGUUGUAAAGCUCUUUUACCCGGGAUGAUAAUGACAGUCCCGGGAGAAUAAGCUCCGGCUAACUCCGU
rnacentral:rRNA from 1 species